AAACUGAUGCAGACCAAGGCUGAACUUUCUAGCACUUUGCAAAGGAUUUCCUUCACUGACAAAUGACAGUAUUCAGCACCUGGAGCUCAGGGACCUCACCAAGUUUCCAAAUAGCUGGAGCAGGGCUUCAAAGGUCUCCAGUAAUGAAAACAAGUGAUUGGCAAUAUGAUCUACCACCUACUACUUCCAUUAAAUGACCUCAGUUCUGCUACCAGAAGAAUGACAGCAAACAUCUCCCUUUCUAUGUGCCGAGACUGAUCUUUGAGACCCCCUAAACGCAUCCCACCCACUGUCACCUUCCUCCUGGCCAAAGAGCUCUGCUCUCUUAGAUUCUUCAGCUAAAUUCUUUCUAUACAUCUAGUUGUUUGGGUAGUUAACAAUUCCCAUUGCUCUGGGGUCAUGCAGCACAUGCAAAGUCACCCUUACUUUGUCCUUUACAACUCAGUGGAGCAGUGAUUCUUUUCUG